GAUGAACGCUGGCGGCGUGCCUAACACAUGCAAGUCGAGCGGAGAAUUGUUGCUUGCAACAAUUCUUAGCGGCGGACGGGUGAGUAACACGUGGGUAACCUGCCCUAAACAAAGGGAUAACAAUGAGAAAUCAUUGCUAAUACCGUAUACGCUUACACUAACGCAUGAUAGAGUAAGAAAAGAUUUAUCGGUUUAGGAGGGGCGCGCGUCUGAUUAGUUAGUUGGAGUGGUAACGUCUCACCAAGGCGACGAUCAGUAGCCGACCAGAGAGGGAGAUCGGCCACAGGGGGACUAAGACACGGCGCAAACUCCUACGGGAGGCAGCAGUGGGGAAUAUUGCACAAUGGAGGAACCUCUGAUGCAGCAACGCCGCGUGAAGGAAGAAGGUUUUCGGAUCAUAAACUUCUAUCUACAGGGAAGAAAAAAAUGACGGUACCUGAGGAAGAAGCCCCGGCUAACUACGUG
rnacentral:rRNA from 1 species